UACAAGAUAGUGUCGAUCAUCGCUUUAGAUAAGUCGUUUCCAAGAGAAAGGUACAUCUUCUCCCAUUUCCCCAAAAAGAAGCCCUUCAUAAGACACAUUCCUUCCAUCCUCACAACCGAACGACGCGCUUCUAUCCUCACAACCUCAGAACGACACAACUUACCGCUAUAUCAAUUCAAUCCUUCGUAUCGUCGUUUCUCUUUCAACGCCUCACCUUCUAUAUAAAGCCUUUUUCACUGGUGCCCAUCAAAUUAGACCGGCAACUCCAUUUGGGAGAUACUCUGGUUUCUCAGUGCAGCGUGACAGAUAUAAAUAUGGCCUUUGGGUGUAAACCAUCAAGUUUUUGAUUAUCGGUGGUGAUGCUUAUAUGCUGGUACAAGUUGGUAUUCUCCUGUGUAUAAGUUGGGAAGAUUGGUUUUGGGCAGGCUUAUGUUGGGAGGCAGGUAAGCAGUGGUACAAAAAAAACAGGUGCUUAUUAUACAGUCAAGCUGCAUAGAAAUAAUAAACAAGGAUACCCGUGAUGCCAGCUGCAAAAUAGAUACAAUGAUUGAUGCAUCAUAUAAGCAACUGCAGUGGUGCCGGACAAUUUGAUCAAGAGAACCCCACUAUGAGGUUAUUAUGUCCAUUAAUUGGUCAUUGUUGUCAUAUUCUUACCGCAUAACAUUGCACAUUAUAAAAUGUGACAAUUUUAUCAAGAGAACCCUACUAUGAAUCAGUGUAAUAUUGAUAUGCCUGCAAAAAUGUUUAAUUAUAAAUUCAAUUGAUGAAUGAAAAAAAAACUGAAUUGAUCA